rnacentral:rRNA from 1 species
UACGUAGGUGGCAAGCGUUGUCCGGAAUUAUUGGGCGUAAAGCGCGCGCAGGCGGUCCUUUAAGUCUGAUGUGAAAGCCCAUGGCUCAACCGUGGAGGGUCAUUGGAAACUGGGGGACUUGAGUACAGAAGAGAAGAGUGGAAUUCCACGUGUAGCGGUGAAAUGCGUAGAGAUGUGGAGGAACACCAGUGGCGAAGGCGACUCUUUGGUCUGUAACUGACGCUGAGGCGCGAAAGCGUGGGGAGCAAACAGG